rnacentral:rRNA from 1 species
UACGUAGGUGGCGAGCGUUAUCCGGAUUUAUUGGGUUUAAAGGGUGCGUAGGCGGGCUUUUAAGUCAGCGGUAAAAAUUCGGGGCUCAACCCCGUCCGGCCGUUGAAACUGGGGGCCUUGAGUGGGCGAGAAGAAGGCGGAAUGCGUGGUGUAGCGGUGAAAUGCAUAGAUAUCACGCAGAACCCCGAUUGCGAAGGCAGCCUUCCGGCGCCCUACUGACGCUGAGGCACGAAAGUGCGGGGAUCGAACAGG